ACUUUAUAUGGCUGGAAAGUGGAGAUCCGAUGAGAGAGAGAGAAUCGCCGGCGAGAGGAGAGAGAGACUCUGAGAUUUGCUACGGUGUGAAUGCGAGUAUGGUGCACCGGUGCG